GAUGAAGAACGUAGUGAAAUGUGAUAAUUAAUGUGAAUUUCAGAAUUCCGUGAAUCAUCGAGUCUUUGAACGCACAUUGCGCCUCAUGGCAUUCCGUGAGGCAUGCCCAUCUCAGCGUUAGAAAAUAUUCUCAAAUUUUAGUUUUGUGCUAAAAUUUGGAUCAUGUCAAGGAAGCUAUUACUAUUAUUGUGAUCGCUCUUUGGAAAUUGAUAGGUCUUUGAGUUGCUACUCAUAGAACGUGAUGAAUCUUUCUUCGUUCUAUUGUAAUUCACUCUGGUAGUCCUAAAACUUGUAUGCCUGUGGCAUAUCUUGUAAUUUGACCUGAGAUUGGGUAGGGAUACCCGCUGAACUUAAGCAUAUCAAUAAGCGGAGGA
rnacentral:misc_RNA from 1 species